UACGGAGGGUGCGAGCGUUGUCCGGAAUCACUGGGCGUAAAGGGCGCGUAGGCGGCUUCUUAAGCGGGCGGUGAAAGCCCGGGGCUCAACCCCGGGUCGGCCGUGCGAACUGGGAAGCUCGAGCACUGUAGAGGCAGGUGGAAUUCCGGGUGUAGCGGUGGAAUGCGUAGAGAUCCGGAAGAACACCGGUGGCGAAGGCGGCCUGCUGGGCAGUGGCUGACGCUGAGGCGCGACAGCGUGGGGAGCAAACAGG
rnacentral:rRNA from 1 species